rnacentral:lncRNA from 1 species
GUAAAAGGUCGAGCUGCUUACGACAUUUGACGUUUAUUUCAUAUUUGGGAAGAUGCAAAGAGGUUGCUGGUUCGAGCCUCGGCUGGGUCAGUUGGCGUUUCUGUGUGGAAUUUGCAUGUUCUUCCCGUGUUGGCGUGGGUUUCCUCCGGGUGCUCCAGUUUCCCCCACAGUCCAAAGACAUGUGCUGUAGAUGAAUUGGCGGAUGACCUUCCAGCUGCAACCAAUCACUGCGAAAUCUGGACAAUGUUGUGAAGUUUUCCAUUGCUGUUGCUUGUGGUGUAAAAACACUUGUUGGAUUUAUCUAAGAUUCUUCAAUAAACUGCUCUUUAUCAUCA